GCACUUGCAUCGGCAGCACAUAUACUAAAAUUAGAAUGAUACGAGAAAAUUAACAUGGCUCCUACACAAGGGUGCCAUGCAAAUUUGUGAAGUGUUCCGUAUUAUU